CUGAAAAUCUCAGUGCGUCCAGUAUACCUUGGUGGWGUCCGGAGUGGAUGCAGCACGGAGGAGGUCUCCUUUUACCUUGGAUUCACCAUGGAGGGUCCCGUAGCUUAUGACAUAAAGUAUGAAAAUGACCAGUAAACAGCUUACCAUCAGGUAGACUGAGGAAGGGACGCAAGCGUUCGCAYUUAGGGAAAGGAAAGGCUUCCAUUGAAGWUAUAUAGGCCUAGAGGGUUUGACUGGGGUGAAUGUCUGUGAACCAGGACAGAAUCACAUUAAGUAAGAUACCAGUGUGCUCUUGUCACUGUGUGAGGAAACCCAACCUCAACCACCUGGAUAUAAUCAAAGCAGAGAGAACAGGUGUCAGGUGACAUGCAGCAAUGAAUCAUUCAUGCUUUUAGAGGUGAAACAAAGUCCCUGUAAUUGUAUCUCUAAGUCCCUGUAAUUGUGUCUCUAAGUCCCUGUAAUUUUGUCUCGAAGUCCCUGUAAUUUUAUAUCUAAGUCCCUGUAAUUUUGUUUCUAAGUCCCUCUAAUUGUGUCUCUAAGUCCUUGUAAUUUUGUCCCUAAGUCCCUGUCAUUUUUCUGUAUGUCCCUGUCAUUUUGUCUCUAAAUACCUCUAAUUCUGUCUCUAAGUCCUAAAUACCUCUAAGUCCCUCUAAUUGUAACAUACAGUACUAUACAGUAGCAGACCAAUGAACAAGGAUUGUAGACCUAUAAACCACGUGCAACUAUUCAAUGCUUAAAACAUGUAUUAUGGUUUUGCAUUGUGUUUGUUGAAAAUAUGGAAUGAUUAUUAUGUUACAAGGCGUAUUGACUUUCUGCACAUUAUCUAGCUUCUUCAGUUGUUUGUCUAAAUACAUUCAAUUGCAUGGUAACCUAUUGUCAAUGUUUGUUCAUGGAAUAAAGAGGAUUGCAUUACUAUAUAUA